GUGAAAGCUAUUCAAGGGGAAUCAGAGGUUUGCUCUGUUUCUCUUCUUUUCGCUCACCCUUAUCGCCGCGUUUUCGUCAUAAGAUCUCAAAGUCAACCAGGAGCAGAUGAUGUAUGUGAGUCUAAAGCUGGGGCUGAUCUUUUGGACAUCUUUCGUAGAAAGAACAUCAAACUAAACCUUGUCUCACCCUCACUCUCACCAUUGAUCCCAUCUCCAUCUCGUGUCAAAGGAGGAUGUUGUGGUUGAGUAAAGUUUGGGAUUAAAUCUGCAGCUGUUAGAGUAGAAGCAUUCGAUUGCUUAAACAGGGACCGCCAAAACUCAAGCAUACUUGCCAUGGCUUAGGAACCCCAAAACUCAAGCAUACCCACAGGUUUUGUUAUUUAUCCCUUCAAGUAGUUGUUUUCAUUUCUUUGUGGAUUGUGAAUGAUCUUUAUAACUUUCUUUGAUCCUGCUGUUAAUGGAACACUCAACAUUUUGAACUCGUCUACCAAUUUUUAUUUAUGCUUUUCUUCCAUAUUUGUUUAAAAUUUAAAAUUUAAAAUUUGUAUUUCUAUUUUUAAUAUGUUUUUAUGUCAUAUUUGUUUAAUAUUAUAUGAAAUCCAAUAAUUUAUAA